AUUCGGUUGAUGAGUCUCAAAUAGUACGAAACGCGAGUCCUGGAU
rnacentral:hammerhead_ribozyme from 1 species